GGGGCAGGCCUNNNCAUGCAAGUCGAGCGGAAACGAGUUAACUGAACCUUCGGGGAACGUUAACGGCGUCGAGCGGCGGACGGGUGAGUAAUGCCUGGGAAAUUGCCCUGAUGUGGGGAUAACCAUUGGAAACGAUGGCUAAUACCGCAUAAUAGCUUCGGCUCAAAGAGGGGGACCUUCGGGCCUCUCGCGUCAGGAUAUGCCCAGGUGGGAUUAGCUAGUUGGUGAGGUAAUGGCUCACCAAGGCGACGAUCCCUAGCUGGUCUGAGAGGAUGAUCAGCCACACUGGAACUGAGACACGGUCCAGACUCCUACGGGAGGCAGCAGUGGGGAAUAUUGCACAAUGGGCGCAAGCCUGAUGCAGCCAUGCCGCGUGUAUGAAGAAGGCCUUCGGGUUGUAAAGUACUUUCAGCAGUGAGGAAGGUGGGUAUGUUAAUAGCAUACACAUUUGACGUUAGCUGCAGAAGAAGCACCGGCUAACUCCGUGCCAGCAGCCGCGGUAAUACGGAGGGUGCGAGCGUUAAUCGGAAUUACUGGGCGUAAAGCGCAUGCAGGUGGUUUGUUAAGUCAGAUGUGAAAGCCCGGGGCUCAACCUCGGAAUUGCAUUUGAAACUGGCAAACUAGAGUACUGUAGAGGGGGGUAGAAUUUCAGGUGUAGCGGUGAAAUGCGUAGAGAUCUGAAGGAAUACCGGUGGCGAAGGCGGCCCCCUGGACAGAUACUGACACUCAGAUGCGAAAGCGUGGGGGAGCAAACAGGGAUUAGAUACCCUGGUAGUCCACGCCGUAAACGAUGUCUACUUGGAGGUUGUGGCCUUGAGCCCGUGGCUUUCGGAGCUAACGCGUUAAGUANACCGCCUNNNGAGUACGGUCGCAAGGAUUAAAACUCAAAUGAAUUGACGGGGGCGCCNCCACAGNGGGUGGNAGCAUGUGGGUUUAAUUCGANGNCACCCGAAGAAACCUUACCCUACUCUUGAACAUC
rnacentral:rRNA from 1 species